AGAGUUUGAUCCUGGCUCAGGAUAAACGCUGGCGGCGUGCCUAACACAUGCAAGUCGUACGCCCUCUGGCAACAGAGGGAGUGGCGGACGGGUGAGUAACACGUGGGUGCACCUACCCCAAAGUAAGGAAUACCGGCGAGAAAUCGCCGACAAUACCGUAUACGUUCCGUAAGGAGCAAAGCCCGCAAGGGCGCUUUGGG
rnacentral:rRNA from 1 species